UCUGACCACAAUGUGUGUGUGUGUGUGUGUGUGUGUGUGUGUGUGUGUGUGUGUGUGUGUGUGUGUUAGUAACCGCUUGUGUGUGUGUGAACCUCCCCUGUAAGCCUCGUGUACGUACGUCCAAGAAUGAAACCGGCAGAGAUGCACUGGACCGCGCUGCCCUCUUUUGUGUGUUCUGACGUUCUGAUGUUGCUUGGGUCUAUCAGUCUGUUUGGGGAGGGGGAGACAAAAAAUGGGAACUAAACUGACAAAUGAUUAUCUGGUUUAUUCUGUUCGCUUUGUGUCACUACCCUAAUCUGCCAUGGUUUUCAGAAGCCCUGCAAACGCCGUGCCUGCCUGUUUGGGUCACUCAACUAUUUUUGUCUCUGCCGAUUUGCCUCUGGUGCUAAUUAACACUACCCACACUAUUUUUUUUUAAAGAUCUGCUAUUACAAGAUGCAAAUCAUUUAGGUUCAACUCUUGUCAGAAGUGAUAUGUUGGUUGAUGCAAAGACUUGCAGCUUCAAAUGCUUUAAAGUUUACGCCAUCUGGAAUAUUGUCAGUUCUCCAAAUUACACGGAAAAUCCCAGGUUCACCAAAAGGGAGGAUUUUUCACGCUAAACUGUUUCAGUUUGCAAGGAGUUUAAACGCCACCACAACAUGUGGGCGGACAGUUCUUUACCCACGUCAAUAAACUACAUAUAUAACCAAAAAUAUUAAAUGGCCACAUUUAACUUCUCAGACGGCGUCUGUGUUUUUUGCAGGCAGAUCUGAGCGCGCUGCUCGGUGAGGAGCAAACCACCAUGAGCUGAGUCACCGGGACCGAUGUGACGACUCAUUGGCUCUUUUCUUCUGAAGUCCCUAAAAGUUUUUGUUUGUCUGGAGAAGUAUUAGCCUUACAAUCAUUGCUUUCAGACAUUCAAAAAACAAAACAAAGGGAAAUAAUUGUGAACAAAAUCGAUCUACAAUUUCUCUUAGACAAAACUCUACUGUACUAUCUUUGUACUCGUGAGAUCAAACCAAUUGAUUUGAUUGAAUCCUAAGUUCUAGUUAGUUUAGUAGAUACUUUAUUUAUCCGGAGGGAAAUUCAGGCAGUUUUUGAAUAAAAGAAAGUGACACAAAAUUUACCAGUGAUUGUAUAUAUGUUCGCUCAGUGGCUAGAGCUGCCAAUUAGGCUCAACUUAAUAUAAGAAACUUUUGCGUAUCAUAAGCAUCGGUGGGGGCCAGAGAUGGAUGGAUGGCCUAUGAGCAUCGUAGAUGGAUCCUGGGUACAGGCCCCCAGGGGCCCCUGGCCCAGAGUUAAGUACAAAGCAUCUUGAAACGAUAACAGACACUUAAAGAGACGGGUGACUAAGAGAUGUAAAAUUACCACAAAUAUGUAAAAUUACCACAAAUAACAGUUUUGCAGCCGGGGCUUUACAUUUGAUUCUUAAAUAAAUUUUCUACCCAUUUCACAAACGGCCCCCAGCAUCUCAAAUUCAAAAUGUUCCAAACCCAAACCCCUUGACGAUGAGACUUUUACUGUAUGUUUUGUAUCUUCGGCUUGAGCAGAGACAGAAAACGCACGGGGAGACGAAUCGCUCGUGGCUACUUUAUGCAUAUUGAGUUUCCGCUACACACAAAUGAGGAGAAACUUCAUCACCGUCGCCGAUUGGUCCGCACUACAAAUCAUUGUAUUAUCAUGCGUUAUUCAUUUCUGGCCUGGCUGUGGUGUGCGAGUUGGGGAUGUGCGGCAGCGUGUUCGAUGAUUUCACGGCAUCUUAAGACGGCUCCGUGGAGCAGGCGACAGCUGUAAAAGAAAAGGAACACAAAAAAACAACUAAACUUGUCAACGGUGUGAUUCUGUAUGUAUGAAGGCAGUGUUUACUGGCAACUGUCCUACAGCAUCAACAUGAUCUUAGACUUUGCUGUGCUACAUUAAAUAUCAGCAGUCUUUCAUG